GGUUGAUCCUGGCGGAGGCUAUUGCUAUCGGGAUCCGAUUCAGGCAUGCUAGUCGUACGAGUUCAGACUCGUGGCGUAUAGCUCAGUAACACGUGGUCAAACCACCCUCUGGACCGGGAUACCCUCGGGAAACUGAGGUCAAUCCCGGAUACCGCUUUCACGUUGGAAAAACGGAAAGCUGGAAACGGUCCGCCGCCGGAGGACGUGACUGCGGCCGAUUAGGUAGACGGUGGGGUAACGGCCCACCGUGCCAAUAAUCGGUACGGGUUGUGAGAGCAAGAGCCCGGAGACGGAAUCUGAGACAAGAUUCCGGGCCCUACGGGGCGCAGCAGCCGCGAAACCUUUACACUGCACGACAGUGCGAUAAGGGGAUCCCGAGUGCGAGGGCAUACAGUCCUCGCUUUUCGUGACCGUAAGGUGGUCACAGAAUAAGGGCUGGGCAAGACCGGUGCCAGCCGCCGCGGUAAUACCGGCAGCCCGAGUGAUAGCCAAUUUUAUUGGGCCUAAAGCGUCCGUAGCCGGCCGAACGGGUCCGUCGGGAAAUCCACCCGCUUAACGGGUGGGCGUCCGGCGGAAACCAGUCGGCUUGGGGCCGGGAGACCAGAGGGGUACGUCCGGGGUAGGAGUGAAAUCCUGUAAUCCUGGACGGACCACCGGUUGCGAAAGCGCCUCUGGAGAACGGACCCGACGGUGAGGGACGAAAGCUAGGGUCUCGAACCGGAUUAGAUACCCGGGUAGUCCUAGCCGUAAACGAUGCUCGCUAGGUGUGACGCAGGCUACGAGCCUGCGUUGCGCCGUAGGGAAGCCGAGAAGCGAGCCGCCUGGGAAGUACGUCCGCAAGGAUGAAACUUAAAGGAAUUGGCGGGGGAGCACUACAACCGGAGGAGCCUGCGGUUUAAUUGGACUCAACGCCGGACAUCUCACCGGCACCGACAACGUGCAGUGACGGUCAGUUUGAUGAGCUUACCUGAGCCGUUGAG
rnacentral:rRNA from 1 species